ACGCUAGCGGGAGGCCUAACACAUGCAAGCCGAGCGGUAUUGUUUCUUCGGAAAUGAGAGAGCGGCGUACGGGUGCGGAACACGUGUGCAACCUGCCUUUAUCUGGGGGAUAGCCUUUCGAAAGGAAGAUUAAUACCCCAUAAUAUAUUGAAUGGCAUCAUUCGAUAUUGAAAACUCCGGUGGAUAGAGAUGGGCACGCGCAAGAUUAGAUAGUUGGUGAGGUAACGGCUCACCAAGUCAAUGAUCUUUAGGGGGCCUGGGAGGGUGAUCCCCCACACUGGUACUGAGACACGGACCAGACUCCUACGGGAGGCAGCAGUGAGGAAUAUUGGACAAUGGGUGAGAGCCUGAUCCAGCCAUCCCGCGUGAAGGACGACGGCCCUAUGGGUUGUAAACUUCUUUUGUAUAGGGAUAAACCUUCCCACGUGUGGAAAGCUGAAGGUACUAUACGAAUAAGCACCGGCUAACUCCGUGCCAGCAGCCGCGGUAAUACAGAGGGUGCAAGCGUUAUCCGGAUUUAUUGGGUUUAAAGGGUCCGUAGGCGGGCUCGUAAGUCAGUGGUGAAAUCUCAUAGCUUAACUAUGAAACUGCCAUUGAUACUGCGAGCCUUGAGUAAGGUAGAGGUAGCUGGAAUAAGUAGUGUAGCGGUGAAAUGCAUAGAUAUUACUUAGAACACCAAUUGCGAAGGCAGGUUACCAUGUCUUAACUGACGCUGAUGGACGAAAGCGUGGGGAGCGAAAC
rnacentral:rRNA from 1 species